rnacentral:misc_RNA from 1 species
GAUGAAGAACGUAGCGAAAUGCGAUACGUAAUGUGAAUUGCAGAAUUCAGUGAAUCAUCGAGUCUUUGAACGCACAUUGCGCCCCCUGGUAUUCCGGGGGGCAUGCCUGUCCGAGCGUCAUUGCUGCCCUCAAGCACGGCUUGUGUGUUGGGCCUCCGCCCCCCGGCUCCCGGGGGGCGGGCCCGAAAGGCAGCGGCGGCACCGCGUCCGGUCCUCGAGCGUAUGUGGCUUCGUCACCCGCUCCGUAGGCCCGGCCGGUGCCCGCCGGCGACCCCCCUCAAUCUUUCCAGGUUGACCUCGGAUCAGGUAGGGAUACCCGCUGAACUUAAGCAUAUCAAUAAGCGGAGGA